rnacentral:rRNA from 1 species
UACGGAAGGCAGCAGUGGGGAAUAUUGCACAAUGGGCGAAAGCCUGAUGCAGCUAUGCCGCGUGUAUGAAGAAGGCCUUAGGGUUGUAAAGUACUUUCAUCGGGGAGGAAAAAACAAAACUAAUAAUUUUAUUUCUUGACGUUACCCGAAAAAGAAGCACCGGCUAACUCCGUGCCAGCAGCCGCGGUAAUACGGAGGGUGCUAGCGUUAAUCAGAAUUACUGGGCGUAAAGAGCACGUAGGUGGUUUUUUUAAAGUCAGAUGUGAAUCCCUGGGCUUAACCUGGAACUGCAUUUUGAAACUGAAAUACUAGAGUAUCGUAGAGGGAGGUAGAAUUCUAGGUGUAGCGGUGAAAUGCGUAGAUAUCUAGAGGAAUACCUGUGGCGAAAGCGGCCUCCUAAACGAAUACUGACACUGAGGUGCGAAAGCGUGGGGAGCAAACAGGGAUUAGAUACC